rnacentral:rRNA from 2 species
CUUGCUCCCGGAUGUUAGCGGCGGACGGGUGAGUAACACGUGGGUAACCUGCCUGUAAGACUGGGAUAACUCCGGGAAACCGGAGCUAAUACCGGAUAGUUCCUUGAACCGCAUGGUUCAAGGAUGAAAGACGGUUUCGGCUGUCACUUACAGAUGGACCCGCGGCGCAUUAGCUAGUUGGUGAGGUAACGGCUCACCAAGGCGACGAUGCGUAGCCGACCUGAGAGGGUGAUCGGCCACACUGGGACUGAGACACGGCCCAGACUCCUACGGGAGGCAGCAGUAGGGAAUCUUCCGCAAUGGACGAAAGUCUGACGGAGCAACGCCGCGUGAGUGAUGAAGGUUUUCGGAUCGUAAAGCUCUGUUGUUAGGGAAGAACAAGUGCAAGAGUAACUGCUUGCACCUUGACGGUACCUAACCAGAAAGCCACGGCUAACUACGUGCCAGCAGCCGCGGUAAUACGUAGGUGGCAAGCGUUGUCCGGAAUUAUUGGGCGUAAAGGGCUCGCAGGCGGUUUCUUAAGUCUGAUGUGAAAGCCCCCGGCUCAACCGGGGAGGGUCAUUGGAAACUGGGAAACUUGAGUGCAGAAGAGGAGAGUGGAAUUCCACGUGUAGCGGUGA